GAAUACUCGGCAAUUACCGAUUUCGAAUAAUGAAGAGUCAGAGUUACUCUGAGUAUAU
rnacentral:misc_RNA from 1 species